AGUGCACUGCACGGUGCUCCGUCCUCAUCCCCGUGGGGCCUCACUGCCAAACAGGCAUCACUCCUGGGAAGCCACCAGCUCUGGGGAGGGAUGUUUAGACUGGGCGGAGGCACCUUACUCUACUUAUCCACAGCAGGUCACCCACGACUUGGCUCCACUAGCCACUACCUCGAGUAUCGCCAGUCCCACAGGUGAACGGAAAACGCCUCGGCAUCCACAGGUCCGUACCCAAAGCUCCCGCGCAGGAGAAAUAAACGUCACUUCUGCUUGCCUCUCACUGGCCAGGAGAGUCACGUGAUGGCAUGACCUCAUGGGGCGGGGCCAGCAUCCUCCCGGGUGCCAGCCGUGAGCCGCGGUGGAGCCGCGGGGAGGUGGAGGCGACUUAACGUUGCGAGUCUGGGUCGGUGGGCAGGUGGGUACCCCUUACUGCUGAGAUAAGGCUGUUCAGGGAAGCGGCCUCCUGACAGUGCGUGAUUACCCAGAGUGUAAAUCCCAGUGCUGGCCAGGAUCCAGGAAAAGGCCAGGAGCAGGGCUUUCCCACCUGGCAGGUGAGUGGGGUCCCCUGGACCACCUGGAGGCCGUGCAGGAGCAGCGAUGCUGCAGCCCCGUGCAGUGAACCCACUCAGAUCUCAGGCGUGGUUUCUGAGAGCCACUCAGCCCUUGGCCUUCUAAGACCUUUCCCACCCCACCCCGCCUCUAGUCUUCUCUUCUAAGACUCUUUAGAAAGGAGCCUGUGGUCAAACUUUGCCCACGCAUCUAACCUCCAGCCUGAGUCCCUGGGAACUUGAUUACAUCACUGCCUCCUGCAUAUCUACUAUCCACAUUUAAAUGUUAUCUGAACCAUGGUGACUUUGAGAGGUUAAAGCUUUAAGUGAAAAGGAAAAUGAACCUUACAGUUCAGCCUCGACUGCCCAAUGCCUGUGACUUCUCAGGCAUCGCAGCACAAAGAUCUUCAAGGAAAUCAUCCAAAUGAGACCUCUUCCUCAUUAAGGUUUAUCAUUAACUGAGAAAAGAAAGAAAUAUUUAAAGUAUCAUUAUUUCUUUUUUCCUGAAGGUAUGGAAUUCCAAUUUUUUCCAAGUAAAUGUGGAACCAUUCAGUUAUUUUUUAAAUGAAUGCUUUGUCUUUACAAUUUGUGCUACAGCAAGCUCUCCUCUUCAUUUCUAACUCUUUUUACUGGAGGACCCCUAGAGAAAGUAGUUUGGGGACUUCCAUGCUUAUUAGAUGCACAUCAAGCAGAUCCUGUUCACUCCAUCUCAGCUUUUCUUUCAUGGCAUCAGGGGCAGGCUAUUAUUUGCAAGCAGCCAAGGUAAUUACCAUCCAGCAGGGUCCAAUUGUUUUCAAUUAAAAGCUUUACUGCAGUCUUUAGUUUUAAUACCACUGUGGCCAUCUGCUUUCACUGAAGAUCUACCAGCCAAAAGCCCAGGCCACAUCUUAAUGCCAUUAACUCCUGAGAGCCAUUUUCCUCCAGAAUGAACUCAAUAGUCCAGGGGAAAUAUGGGAAUAACCUCAUGUUAUCUUUGGUGGCCUGGGGAAAGCUAUAGGACUCAAGAAGGUUAUUUUCAGAAAGACAAGCACUACCUCUUCUUGCCUGAAGUGCUAGGUAAUUGUCUUAAUUCUCUGCUUCACUUCAGCAGAGGAUGCUGAACUGUAACUGCUCCAUUGCACAUUUUCCAUCCAGCCUCAAUAUUCUGUAGCCCUAUUAUAAAAUGUCUCUGAACUGUAAUUUCAUCAGAUGGAUCACUUUGGUAUAGACAUUUUCCAUUUUGAUAUUCAAUUUCUAUCCAACUCUGCUUAGCUCACCAUGACCCAAAAUCUAGGUGUGGAUAAAUGGUAAGGAGUGACCCAGGUUACCGAAUGGAUGCUCACACUGCAAUGUGAGGUCAUUUAACUGUUUUCGUGGCUUAAAACCUGCAGCCCAUUCCAGUCACAAAGUUAUUAGGAAUUAACUUGAGAGUUUUAUUGAACGAUCAGGGACAACAGCCCAAGGCCUAGACUUGGAGUUUACAGCACAUGUUUUGCCUACUCCUGAGGGUUCACACUGUGCAUCGGCUCCACCAAAGCCAUUUACAUUUCUCCCUUCUCCUUCCCUUCCUCUGCAAGAUAGGCUUCUUUGCUAUCCAGGUAGCCAUGGCCCACAACCCUGGCCAAUAAGAUGGAGGGUGCAAGUCCAAAAGGAAAGAUUACUUUCCCCCAAAACUAUACAGGGAGAAGGCUCUAGGCUCUUUUAUUUCCUUUGCCCAUGUCUUUUUUCUUCAUCUUGGACUUGAAGUCUAAAGGAGCAGUGCUGGGUCAGGAAGCAUGAAAACAAAGAUGUCAAUACUAAGGACAAUGGACCGGAAAUUCAGAGGGACUCUGAGUCCUAAAUGGCACUGGACCAGACCUGGACUGGCACCCAGAUUUCUGAUAUGUAAAGCAUGAAAAUCACUAGCUAUGUCAGAUCUACCAGUAGGAUUUAUUGUUUUUGUUUGUUGUUGUUGUAAAAAAAAAAAAAA
ensembl:lncRNA